GACGAACGCUAGUUCUGCGCGCUUAACACAUGCAAGUCGAGCGGAAAGGCCCUUCGGGGUACGCGAGCGGCGAACGGGUGAGUAACACGUGAGCAACCUACCCUUGGCUCUGGGAUAACCCCGGGAAACCGGGGCUAAUACCGGAUACCCACGCACCUCCGCAUGGGGGUGCGUGAAAAGUUUUUCGGCUGGGGAUGGGCUCGCGGCCUAUCAACUUGUUGGCGGGGUAACGGCCCACCAAGGCUUCGACGGGUAGCCGGCCUGAGAGGGCGACCGGCCACACUGGGACUGAGAUACGGCCCAGACUCCUACGGGAGGCAGCAGUGGGGAAUAUUGCACAAUGGGCGCAAGCCUGAUGCAGCGACGCAGCGUGAGGGACGAAGGCCUUCGGGUUGUAAACCUCUUUCGGCAGGGACGAAGCGAAAGUGACGGUACCUGAAGAAGAAGCGCCGGCCAACUACGUGCCAGCAGCCGCCGUAACAC
rnacentral:rRNA from 1 species